UUUCUAAGACUAUUAAAUUAAAUAUACAGGGUGACUGGUGAAUUACUAUCAAUAUUUGAGGACGUGUUAUUUGAGGAUCAUAUAUGACGAAAAAAAAUUACAUAUAAAAUAAAUAUUCAUAAACUUCUAAGUAAAGUUAACCAACAGUUAUCUCGCUAAUUACGCGUCGUCUGGACGCCCUAGCUGCGCAGUCGUCACAAAGCAGGUGUGUAGGUAUAGGUACAUUUAGUUAUCGCGCGGUCGUUUACCUACGUCCAAACACCGCCAAGUGUUAACAGGGUAGCAGGCUACUUUUGAUAAACCAGUAUGAUCCAAUCCCCCUCCAUACUUUAAUUUUAGCUUAGGACAGGCAAAAAUACCAAAAUAAGAUUAGGCCGACCCCUUCCCCUUGAUAAAUAUUCCCGUUGAUAAUUUGAUAAAUAUUAAUUUAUUACGUAAGAAUCUAAACGAAAAAAUGAAUACACGUUUGGUUUGUUUCAAUU